rnacentral:rRNA from 1 species
UCCAAGGGAGGCAGCAGGCACGCAAAUUACCCACUCCCGGCACGGGGAGGUAGUGACGAAAAAUAACGAGACGGCUCGCUAUGCGGUCCGUCAUCGGAAUGAGUACAAUUUAAAUCCUUUAACGAGGAUCUAGUGGAGGGCAAGUCUGGUGCCAGCAGCCGCGGUAAUUCCAGCUCCGCAAGUGUAUUCCUAUACUGUUGCGGUUAAAAAGCUCGUAGUUGGAUCUGAGUGUUUAGCGCUUGGUGCAGUUCUGCUGUUACUGAGUGCGGCACAUAAUCGCCAAUUGGUUGCCAUCGUUGCCUUAACCGGUGAUGGUGGUUGACUGUUGGCAUGUUUACUUUGAACAAAUCAGAGUGCUCAAUACGGGCGUUUCGCUUGUAUGGUCGUGCAUGGAAUAAUAGAAUAGGACCUUGGUUCUAUUUUGUUGGUUUUCGGAAUCAAGUAAUUAUUAAGAGGGACAGACGGGGGCAUUCCUACUGCAACCUGAGAGGUGAAAUUCUUGGAUCGUUGCAAGACGAACUACUGCGAAAGCAUUUGCCAAGAAUGUUUUCAUUAAUCCAGAACCAAAGUAAUGGGGUUCCAAGGCGAUCCGAUACCGCCC